AGUGCACAAAUUUUUGCUUGGGUGGAGUCCCUUGGGCUGGCCUGCAGAUAUUGGGCCCCAGCUCACGCCCCCAGCCUUGCGGCCCC